UACGGAGGGGGCCAGCGUUGUCCGAAGUUACUGGGCGUAAAGGGCGCGUAGGCGGGAGCCUAAGUCCGCUGUGAAAGCCCGGGGCUUAACCCCGGAGGGUCGGUGGAGACUGGGCUUCUUGAAAGGGCUAGGGGGAGAUGGAAUUACCGGUGUAGCGGUGAAAUGCGUAGAUAUCGGUAGGAACACCAGUGGCGAAGGCGGUCUCCUGGGGCCUGUUUGACGCUGAGGCGCGAAAGCUGGGGGAGCCAACGGG
rnacentral:rRNA from 1 species